rnacentral:lncRNA from 1 species
CCCUGGCCACCCUCCCUGCCAUGCCCAGGGCCCUUCCAGCACCCCCUCCACCAUGGAUUCCCUCCUGCCCUGCAAGCCUUAAGACAGAAUCUGCGUACGGUGGAGGUGGUCUUGGGGGCAGGUCACCUGUCCCGGGGCUUUAGCUGGCUGAGCCCUCAACUUUGGGGCCGCAAUAUGACAGGCCCUUUGCAUAUCAGCCACCAUGUCCUCCAUGGCUGUGCAGGAGGCUGGUGUUAUGAGAGCCACUACCAGCCUGGCCAGGUGGGGUAUUCCCACCAUCUAGGCAAAUCUCAGUCCCGUGCCAGGGCUCACCCUGCAGAGACGACCCUCAUUGCUGACAUAGCACUACGGGAGGGAGCUCAGGAGCUGGGCCUGCCACAUGGAAG